UCGACGAUGAAUCUUCUAGCUUGCUAGAAGUGGAUUAGUGGCGCACGGGUGAGUAAUGCAUAGGUUAUGUGCCCUUUAGUCUGGGAUAGCCACUGGAAACGGUGAUUAAUACUGGAUACUCCCUACGGGGGAAAGUUUUUCGCUAAAGGAUCAGCCUAUGUCCUAUCAGCUUGUUGGUGAGGUAAUGGCUCACCAAGGCUAUGACGGGUAUCCGGCCUGAGAGGGUGAUCGGACACACUGGAACUGAGACACGGUCCAGACUCCUACGGGAGGCAGCAGUAGGGAAUAUUGCUCAAUGGGGGAAACCCUGAAGCAGCAACGCCGCGUGGAGGAUGAAGGUUUUAGGAUUGUAAACUCCUUUUGUUAGAGAAGAUUAUGACGGUAUCUAACGAAUAAGCACCGGCUAACUCCGUGCCAGCAGCCGCGGUAAUACGGAGGGUGCAAGCGUUACUCGGAAUCACUGGGUGUAAAGAGUGCGUAGGCGGGGUAAUAAGUCAGAUGUGAAAUCCUGUAGCUUAACUACAGAACUGCAUUUGAAACUGUUACUCUGGAGUGUGGGAGAGGUAGGUGGAAUUCUUGGUGUAGGGGUAAAAUCCGUAGAGAUCAAGAGGAAUACUCAUUGCGAAGGCGACCUGCCGGAACAUUACUGACGCUGAUGCACGAAAGCGUGGGGAGCAAACAGGAUUAGAUACCCUGGUAGUCCACGCCCUAAACGAUGGAUGCUAGUUGUUGCCUUGCUUGUCAGGGCAGUAAUGCAGCUAACGCAUUAAGCAUCCCGCCUGGGGAGUACGGUCGCAAGAUUAAAACUCAAAGGAAUAGACGGGGACCCGCACAAGCGGUGGAGCAUGUGGUUUAAUUC
rnacentral:rRNA from 1 species